rnacentral:misc_RNA from 1 species
GAUGAAGAACGUAGCGAAAUGCGAUACGUAAUGUGAAUUGCAGAAUUCAGUGAAUCAUCGAAUCUUUGAACGCACAUUGCGCCUGCCAGCACUCUGGCAGGCAUGCCUGUUCGAGCGUCAUUUCAACCAUCAAGCCCUAGGCUUGCGUUGGAGCCCUGCGGCUGCCGCAGGCCCCUAAAAGCAGUGGCGGGCUCGCUAUCACACCGAGUGCAGUAGAUUACUCUUCGCUCAGGGCGUGUGGCGGGUUACAGCCGUGAAACCCCCUACUUCUCAAGGUUGACCUCGGAUCAGGUAGGAAUACCCGCUGAACUUAAGCAUAUCAAUAAGCGGAGGA